GUGGAAUUGAAAAACCGUCGAAAUCUGGCCUCAGCACACAGUGAGAGAAGGUGCUCUUUAUAUUGCAGGUGGAGUUGAAGAACCGACGAAAUCUGGCCUCAGCACACAGUGAGAGGUGGAAUUGAAAAACCGUCCAAAUCUGGCCUCAGCAAACACUAAGAGAAGGCGCUCUUUAUAUUGCAGGUGGAAUUGAAGAACCGACCAAGUCUGGCCUCAGGAAACACUGUAAGAGGUGGAAUUGAAGAACCGACCAAGUCUGGCCUCAGGAAACGCUAUAAGAGGUGGAAUUGAAGAACCGUCGAAAUCUGGCCCCAGCACACAGUGAGAGAAGGUGCUCUUUAUAUUGCAGGUGAAGUUGAAGAACCGACCAAGUCUGGCCUCAGCAAACACUUAGAGGUGGAGUUGCAGGAGAAGGACCUCGGAAAUUUGGCCGUAAAAACCCUAAGGGUGGAGUUGUAAGGGUAGAAGAACCUGUGAAAUUUGGCUUUGGAAAACCCCCAAGGGGUUAGUCUUCCCCUUUUUUCCAUUUUGAGCAAAAAAAACAAAAGUGCUCAGAAUGAACUGGAAUUAGGCACACAUACUCGGUAGAAGGUGCUUUUUAUUUUGCAGGUGGAGUUGCAGGAGUAGAAGCUCGGAAAUUUGGCCUUCGAAAAAACCCCAAGAUCCAUUUAGCCAAGAAAUAAAAACUCUGAUUGGUCUGAAAGACGUGCACACUUGACCCUAGAAAACAGCA